rnacentral:lncRNA from 1 species
UGAAAGAUGAGUAGCGAUGACAGUUUGGACAAACUUAUAAAAGGAACGUUUGUUGAUCCCUCGCCGGAAAAUAGCCUGGAACUUAGAGAAGACCUUCGACAGCUUGGGAUUCCGGCAACUGAAGCGCAAAUUGGCGCGAACGUACCGCCGUUGCCGGGCGAUGAGAACCAGGUCAACUCGUUGAGCUUGAUGUCGAGUAGUAGAAUGAAAAGAAACCUGGAAUUUGUUUUCGAUAAUUUCUCGGGAGAUAAAGGAGAAGAAAAAGGGCAGCGCCGAGGAGGCUUUUAUAUCGGUGAAUCAUCAAAUCCGCAGCGACAACGAGGAGCGGGAAGUAAAGAAGAGGAUUUAUCUGAGCUGGAAAUGGCGAAAGCUUUCAAGGAUCGUAUUAACAGUCAGAUAAAGAUGGUAAUGUUUCUUAAUUGAAUUUAAAAAAUUAGUAUUAAAUACUCAUCACCGUUAGUAUAUGUUGAAGUUAGAUAAAUACUGCAUCCACCGCCAAGAACCCUGCUUUUAGCCUUCUGUAGAUGCCUUUUCUUUUCUAUACUAGGAAUCUGUUCUUACGAUGGGAAACAACAGUUUGGAUGAAGAAGAAGUAAAGAUAAAUUAAAAUUUUGUAUAUUAAAUCAAAAGAAAAUGGAUUUUUUUAAAUUAAAAAUCUCAUUCAUUUGUAUUAUGAAAAAUUGGCAUAGUUAACAUAUAAAUGACCGAUUUUUAAUAAUAAAAAUAAAUAAUAUUUCUAACAAAAGUACUAGUUUGUUCUUUAAUCUACUUUAAUCUAAUAUACAUAAAUUAAUUUACUCAAUUUUUAGUAAAAGGAAUGAAGUGCAAUCCAACUUUUAAUACAGAUAACUUUGUAAUACUUUUACCAAUAUUUUAGAGAGCAUCAUUGUUAAAUAAGUUUAAUUUUUACUCCUUUUUUUUUAAUACAAGUGCUUUGCUACCAAUUUCUUUAUUGAAUAAACACUUUUUUUGCUGAAAUGCUUUAAGUGAUUAUAACUUCUAUGUAACCACCAUUAUACUCAUUAUCUAUACAAUUUGCUUUCCAUUUUCCCAUGUUCAAGGAACCCUUUUAAUUUCACUACGCUGUUUAGCAUGUUCAUUCUUACUUUCUCAUUUUAAGAGUCCUUUAGUAACUUUUUGCCUAAAGCUUAUAUGGGUUUGAAUGUUUUGUUAGGGAACUUUUGGAUCUUGUGGCAAAUUUAGAACUCUCAUUUUUCUCAGUCCAUUACCUCCACCUGUUUUGAGCUUGCCCUAAUCUUCCUCUCCACUAUUUCUCAAGAUACUUCAUUUUGUUAGAUUGUAACGUUUUCGCACUUUACUAACAAAACCCUUUACACCUUCCUUGAAGUGCCUUUUCUCAACUGACAAUAUAGCUAAGGACAGUUUCAGAAAAAUACUUGCUACGGUCCGAAAACCCUUGCAUUAACAAUGGUGAUAAAAUCAUGAUCAGAAUGGUUUUUAUCUCCGUAGAAGACACUAACAAUACCUAGUAGUCACCCUUUUUUUUUUUCAAAGAAAAAGCUGUAAGAAUUGUUUAUCUCCAAAAAAAGCAAUAUCUUGAAAUGCGUAUUCGUAUUACAUGAUUCUUAAUACUUGUUUAUAUUUGGUGAAAUGUAGGACGACAUGGCAUAUAUGGAAUCUGUGAUCUGGAUUUUCCAUCAGAUGAUAGAGAUGAAAGCCUCUGCUCUCUUGCCAAAAGUUCUCGGCUCCCACAAGCAAAUCAAAUCGCAAUGCCCAGUUCGAUCUGAUCUUGAUGACAUUAAGCGAAAGGUCCUUGAAAUCGAGCUCGAGUUCAAGGACACUGGUUUGACAGAUGAGGCAAAGCGGAGAUUGCUCAAAUUAGAAGAGGAGUUUAAAAGAUUAGAUAAAAAAUGGAUGAAGGUAUGGUAUUGUUUACAAAUUUAAUUACCACAUUUAGUUUCAUGAUGUAACAUAUUAUUCUGACUUUUUAACUUGGUUUUUCAGGACUUGACAAAAGCUGGGAACCUUGAUGCAAUCUUCACUAAUAAUAUGGUAUGCACAUAAACGUUUCUUAUGAUUGAUAUUAACCUAGAUUAUUAUUCUUGAAUAAAAUGAACAUUUCUCAUUUAUAAAUCACAUUAUAAUUAUAUUUUUCUUUCCUCUUAGACAUGUUUUUUAGAUAGUAAAAAUGGUAAAAAUAUCAUGGAGAGUCUUGUACUAGAAGUCAGAUUACUUUUUUGUCCCCACUAAAAAAAUAGACAAUUAGUCCUUAUAUUAUCAGAGCAAAUGGCUCCAUCUAUUACAAAUUUCAUUAAUUUCUACUGUUCAAAUCUAGUCCUUAGACCUUAACAUGAGGUAUACGUAACACGUCACAUGUAACUGUUUUGGUUAUUCUGUUAUCUACAUCAGUUUUUAACUAUAAAAAUAGACGAUAAUUUCAACAGAAAAGCUUAGUUUGGUUUUUUUUUUUAUUAAAUGGGCAAAAUACAAUUUAAUAUAAUAUUUUUACUUAGAAAAAAGUCGUUUUCAACUAUUUUUCAUGGAUUUGAGUGUGACUAGAGAAUACUAUUGCAUGCCCCGCUACAUAUAAUUUUCUUUUUUAUGUAUUUAGAGGAAUCCUUGGUGAUCAUAUGUGAUACCUACAUUUGAAUAUGUGUUUCUACAUUAAUCUUUUUAAAAAUCAAUUUACAAUUGCAAUAUCUUUCCUCACGCACCCGACCACUUUAAGCUAUUUUAGUAAGUUUUUUCUAAAUUUUUUUCAUGCAUUUAGGUGAACCUUGGACGGUCAUUCCAUGCCCGUAUCUGAAUAUAUGUGGAACAUGUACAUUUCAAGCAAAAUGAUAAUAAUACAUGUAGUUGAAUCUUUCUAAGCGCAUAUCUUACUUUAUUAAUUUGUUCAACAUCCAUUUCUGUGGUAUCUCUUGGUUUUUUUUUUUUUGGCAGUAUAUCCAAUUAAUUCUUAAAUUUGCCCCUGUUUAAAUCUCUUUUUGAUCAUUAAAUUAUAUUUCUUUUAAAUUUCAGGAUUUCAGCGUGGAGACACUAAGGAAAGAGGUACGGUGUAUCUAGGUCUAUAUAUAUAAGUUGGAUUAUCUAUCCAAGUCCAAAAACUCAUUUCAAAAAUGGGAAGAUUUGAGCAAAAAUAUUAGGUCGAAAAAUGAGUUUGAGCAAAAAAAAAAAAAUUAGGCCCAUUUUAAAAAUGGGUCGAACUCGGGCUUAAACAUUUAAGGCCGAACCUUGUUUUUUAAGUUUGUGAUAUUUUAUAUUAUAUAUUAUAAAAUUUAUAAUGUAAAUAUUAAAAAAAAAAGUUAAGGUAACUAUUAAAGUGAGCUUGGAUUAGCUAUUUACAAAUAUGGACAACGUUACUUAAACUUUUAGGUUCAUAUUUUGAAUUGAACCAGGUUUAAACAAGCAUAAUGCGUAUUAAUAACAUGUUUAGAUUCAAUUUAGCCGAUAAACCCCUCUAUAUAAACCUAUUUGGAAACUCAAUUUUCAAAACAUGAAUUUUGUUUUGUAAGCUUUACGACAUAAAUGAAAUAUUUAUGGUUAUUUUUCAAAUAAUAAUGAGAACUAAUUUAUAUUUAUAGUAAAUGAAAUACAAAUCUAAAUCUUUAAAAUUCAUGCUUCCAUAAAGUAACUUUACAUUGAAAUUUUAAUUUAUUGUCUAUAUUUGUUGUUGUUGUAGCUUUUCUCAGCAGGUCCAUGGAUUGAUAUGAAGAAAUUGCUUUAAAUAAUGAUCUUUAUGCUGCUGAUUAAGAUCAUGGAAGUUUGGCAGCUGGUGAAGGAUAUCACUCAUCUUUUGUUAUCUUUUAGAACACACUCAACUUUGAAGGAUUGUUUGAUAUAUUUUUAAUCUUCUCUAUGAAACUCUAAGGUUUUAACUUUGUGGAACUAAAAUCUAAUAAAAAGUGGUACUCCAAAACAAAAACAAAAAAAUCUUAAGAAUUUAUGAGUAAGGGCAGGCAUGAAAAUUUUCUAUUUAGAUCUUUUAUAUAAUUUUUAAAAUUUUAAAUUAAUAAAAGUAAAAUUAUUCUUUGGUUACCUUUAAAAAUGAUAAAAUUUUAAUUUAAUCAUUUAAAAGUUAUACUUUUAUUAUCGUAAAAAUUAUAAUUUAAUUUCGACUCUUCCUAAAAAGAUUUUCCGACUUCACCUCUUAAUAAAAGUGUACAACUGAGCUUAGUUGAGUUACAUGAAGUUCGAAAUUUAGAUUUGAAGUUUAGUUUCGACUUAUCUAUAUUGAGCUGGAUUCAAAAUUAAAAUUAUAUUAUGCCAUUCAUUAUAGUUAAAAAGAAUCAAAUGUAGACAUCAUUAAAACCUUCUUUAAUUCUUUUACUUCCAUUUAAAACAUUUUUAAACAAAUAUUUUUUUUUUCUUAUAGUCAAUUUUUAAUUUAAAAUUUAUUUUUAUGUGGAUAAUGUCAUGCCUUGGACUUAGGUUUGACAGACGUCUCACAUGUAAGAAUGCUAUCCAUUCGAUUUGCUUUUUUAUUUUUUUAUAUUAAUUUUGAGUUUUGGAAUUUUAUAUACAUUUUAACAAAAUGAAAUUGCUUUUAUGAUUUUUGAAUAUUAUUUAACAAAAUUUUAAAAUAUUUUCAUAAAUAUUUCUAAAAAAUAAUAUUUUUUUAAGAAGUAUUAGAUAAUUUUUACUAUUUUAAAUAUAAAAUAUUUUUUAUAUCAUAAAAAUUAAAAUUAAUUAUUAAAUAGAAAAAUAAAAUUCAGAUUGAUUUCGUGUAAUCGUGUUUUUUAAACAUACAUUAUAUAAAUCACUCAAACACUUUAAUUUGAGUUGGUUUUUGAUUUUGUGAAUUUUCUUGCUUAGUCCUAUACAUAUAUAAGAAAAGAAAAAUCUCACAAAUAUGUAAAAGUACAACCAAGUAACAUAAAACGUGAUUAAUAUGUUUUAAAAUCGAAAAAUUAGACAUUCAUACCAUUAAAUUUGUCACGUCUCGAGUCGAGGUAUAAUAAACGCAAGAGAUACGUAAAAUAAAAGCUCAUGCCUCUAACUUUCAUUCAUUUUUAUCAUUUUGAAUCUUGUUCUUUUUUAGGUCAUUUUAGCCUUAAGCUUUAAAAUUAAUUUAUUUAUUUGCUUUUAUUGAAAUGUUAAAAUUUUAAUGGUAUGGAUAUGCUAAUUCAUGCUGCAGUUUAUGUAUAUUUCACUAUUAACAUUGAUAAAAAUUUUAAAAAUUUUUAGCAACUUUUUUGAAUUAUCAUAAAUUAUUAAUUUCUAAUAUCACAUAUGAUUUUAUACGUUUAAUAUUUAAUUAAUAUUUUAAAUAUAAUUUUUUAUUACAGUAAUUAGUAUUAAAAUUUAUUAAUUUACUAAUAGAAAAUUUAAAGUAUUUUUAUUGUAUUUAAAUUAGGGUCUGUUUGAUUGACGGAAUUGAUUUUCCGGAAAAUCAUUUCCAACUUUUCCAGCGUUUGAUUGGCGGAAAAUAUUUUCCAUUUGGAAAAUGAACUCUAAAACAAGGGAAAAUGGGUUACAUUUUAGGGAAAAUGUCUUACCCUUUCAAUUUCCGUAAAACAUUUUCCGUGCUCUCCUCUCUAUCGCCUCCUUCAUUCCUUCCUUCAUUUCCGGUAGAAAACUGCUUCUGUUUAUCGAUUUUCCAGUAACUUGUUUUUUUAAUUAUUCAAUACUUAUUUUUUUAACACAAUUACAAAUGAUUUAUUUGAUAUUAGUUUUUUUCAAUUUAUAACGAUUAAUAUUGUAGCUUAAUAAUUGAGUAUUAUUAUAAAUAAAUCAUUGCAAUAUAUGUAAAAAUAAUUUAAAAUAUAAAAAUUUAUUAAUAUAUGUAAAAACAACUUUUCCGAAAAAUAUUUUCAAAAAAUCUGCCAAGCAGCAGAAAAUAUUUUACACAGAUUCAAUCAAACACUAGAAAAUAUUUCCAGUAAAUCAUUUUACAGAAAAGUAAAACAUUUUCCAGAAAUCAUUUUACGGAAAAUAUUUUACUGGCAAUCAAACAGACCCUUAAAGUAACAUUAUUCCACACUUAACCGCACUCGUCCGCUCAGCUCACUUUCGCGCGGUCCUAACUAGUCUCCGCACUUUCAAAUGUACAUACCUUGCAGUUUCAGUCCUCCAUAGUCUUUGGUCUAUACAAUUAAGGCUUUAAUUUCAGUUUUAUUUAUUCAAUUUAAUUCCUAUUAUUAUUCGUAUUAUUUAUUUUAGUUAUUUUUCUUAAUUAAUUAUUUACUGUGAUUUGAAAACUUUUAUUUGCAUUCUUGACAUCACAAUGUCUGACUGAUACCACAAUAUCUCUAUAUUAUUUUGAACCUUUUUUAAUCUUUUAAAGUCCGUUUUAGUCUCGAAUGCCUCUGAACAUUCAAAAAUUAAUUUUUUAAAUGAUUUCAAUACGAUCUUAAAGUCCUAAAAUUGAAUCUAUCUACUUCCUAAAAUUUUAUAAAACUUAAUCUAAUUUCUUACUGAAUGGUCCCACAUAGUUUUGAGCUUUUUCAAAGUCUCGAGACCUGAUACGAGUUAUGAACACCUUUAACUCACCUCAAACCAUUUUUAAAUGAUUUAAAAUUGUUUAUAAAACCAUCCAAAAAUCCAAACUUGAUUUAAUGAUUUAACAAAAAUAUUUUUAAAUUACAACUCUUCAAUGAUUUUGAGGAUUUUGACUCGUAUAUGUUCUGGUAGGUAUUACAUUUUGUGGUAUCUCAAAGUUUAAAAAUAAAGUAAGGACUAAAUUUUAAAUUUUAAAAAGUAAAGGGAUGUUAAUGGUAAUUUUAUUAACCAAAAGUCAAAUGUGACGCUUCCCUGGUUUUCUUUCUCUCGAUCCAACUUUUUAAUCGCCUUGUGUAUAGCAUCAGCAACCAUAUUCGUUGUUUGUGGUACAUGUUGAAUCUUCACUUGCCAACCCUUCGUCAUCCAGCUGUGAACCUCCAAUGCCAAUCUCAACAAUCCCAUUGCUUUGGCUCCUAGUGUUAAGUCCACUAUUGUUUUACUAUCACUCUCAAUUAGCAGCCAACGCACCCCCUUCUCCCAAGCCGUUUCCAGCCCAUCAACAAUUGCUCUAAGUUCUACCUAUAGUUACUUUUAUUUUAACUCGAUAUGGUUAUGGUAUUUUUUCUUCUAUAUCUCUAAAGCCUACGGUUUUAAUAUUUUAAAUUCAGUAUUUUGUUUGUCUUACCCUUUAGCUAUACAUUUAUCCAUCAUAAGUUAUAACUACCAUUAAAAUUGUAAUGAAAUUAAACAAAAAUAUGUGUACCAAAUCGAUGGAAGAAAUUAAAUUUUUAAGUACAAAAGUAAGAAAAAAUGUUUAGGUACUAAUGUGAAAAAAUGGUUAAUUCAAAGGCUAAAUGGUACAUUUACGCCUACGAAUUCUGGGGUGUAAUUUGUAAACCCAUGAAUAGUUUUAGGGUUUAAUUGGAAUUGUAUUUCCGGCCUUUAAAUUCUUAAAGGUAUUGUCCUCCCGUUCCUUGAACUAAUAUUUCCCGUUCCUUUCGGUUCAAGCAAUGAUCAAAAUAGGUCAAAUUUCAUAUUCAGUACCUGCACUAUGUUUUUCUUUUUGAUUUAGUCUCUCCUCUAUAAUUUGGUCAUUUCCAGCCUUUUUACUUUUUAAAAUGUGUAAUUUCAAUCAAUAUUGAGAUUACUUUUUUUUUUAAAACAUAUGAUGAGAUGAGAUGAGAUGAGAUGAGAUGAAAUGUAUAAUUUAUUAUUUUAUAUAUCUAGAUAACUUUUUUUUACAUUUAGAAAACAAAAGAAAAUUGUAUAAUAUUUAUCUAAUUAUACAAAAAAAUUUAAAAUACAUAUAGAAUGCACAACAGAAAUGGCUUUAGGACUGAAAAUACAUGUUUCGAAAAGUAAUGGGACUAGAAAUUAAUAAAUUAUAUAGAGGGAUUAAAUCCUUAAAAAAAUCAUUAAUAAUUUAUUUAUGGAGGAAAUAAAAAUUCAUAAUUUCACUUAAUAUAGAUUCCAAGUAAAAAUUCUGCUGUUUAAUUUAGUUUCUAUACUUUGUGAAAGUUGCUUCUUUAGUUUCUAUAUUUAAUUUUAAUUAAACUUGGUCUCUAUACUUUUCAAAUUAGUUAAUUUUAGUCCCUGUAACUUUUAAUUUUAAAUUUUUAGUUUUGAACCAAACAGUAGAAGCUAAAUUUGUUUGGUUAAAAUCAAUUACUAGUCAUGUACUACGCGCAUAAUUGUAGAUUUAGUUUAUGGUCUUCAAUUGGAUCAUUCUAGGUCUUUAUAUUUGUUUCCAAAUUGAAAUUCUAGUUUUGAUGUAAAUAAUAGUCGCUAAUCCAUUAAUUGGAUUUUGACAUUACACGUAUGAUAAUAUGUUUAUCGCAUCGAAUUUUGAAAGUAAUAGAACUCGAUGAAUUUUACUGUUAUCAUUUGGUGAGUAUUGAAAUUUUAAAAUUUGAAAAGAAUAAGGACCAAAUUCAUAACAUCCAUAAAGUGACUAAUAGCACAGUUUAACCUUGUUAUAUAUAAUAUCUUCAUUCUUCAAGGACUUGGCUGCAGCACUUGCCUUAUUUCCUUUUCUGUAUUAGCUCUCCACUAAAGAUUUCGUUCAUCUUCCCUGACAGUGAGUAUUGCUGAAUUACUAAUUGAUUAUGAUAUCUUAACUUGAUUUUGCGGAGUUUUGUUUUUCAUUUGGAGAAAUCUCUUGCUUUAUAUCAUUUCGUUUUUGUUAGUUUAUAUCUGUAAUGUUUUUACCUGUUUUCAAUUUGAAUGUCAGUAGAUCUGUGAAAGAUGAGCAGCGAUGACAGUUUGGACAAACUUAUAAAAGGAACGUUUGUUGAUCCCUCGCCGGAAAAUAGCCUGGAACUUAGAGAAGACCUUCGACAGGUUGGGAUUCCGGCAACUGAAGCGCAAAUUGGCGCGAACGUACCGCCGUUGCCGAGCGAUGAUAACCAGGUCAACUCUUUGAGCUUGAUGUCAAGUAGUAGAAUGAAAAGAAACCUGGAAUUUGUUUUCGAUAAUUUCUCGGGAGAUAAAGGAGAAGAAAAAAAGCAGCGCCGAGGAGGCUUUUAUAUCGGUGAAUCAUCAAAUCCGCAGCAACAACGAGGAGCGGGAAGUAAAGAAGAGGAUUUAUCUGAGCUGG